rnacentral:rRNA from 1 species
UACGUAGGUGGCAAGCGUUGUCCGGAAUUAUUGGGUGUAAAGGGCGUGUAGGCGGGGAAAUAAGUCAGAUGUGAAAUUCCAAGGCUCAACCAUGGAACUGCAACUGAUACUGUAUCUCUUGAGUACUGGAGAGGAAAGCGGAAUUCCUAGUGUAGCGGUGAAAUGCGUAGAUAUUAGGAGGAACACCAGUGGCGAAGGCGGCUUUCUGGACAGUAACUGACGCUAAGGCGCGAAAGCGUGGGGAG